rnacentral:pre_miRNA from 1 species
AAAUUACUCCCUCCGUCCCAAAAUUCUUGUCUUAGAUUUGUCUAGAUAUGGAUGUAUCAAGUCACAUUUUAGUAUUAGAUACAUCCGUAUCUAGACAAAUCUAAGACAAGAAAUUUGGGACAGAGGUAGUUGUUG